rnacentral:rRNA from 1 species
UAUGAACCGUUAUAACCGGCGAUUUCCGAAUGGGGAAACCCAGUGUGACUCGUCACACUAUCAUUAACUGAAUCCAUAGGUUAAUGAGGCGAACCGGGGGAACUGAAACAUCUAAGUACCCCGAGGAAAAGAAAUCAACCGAGAUUCCCCCAGUAGCGGCGAGCGAACGGGGAGGAGCCCAGAGCCUGAAUCAGCAUGUGUGUUAGUGGAAGCGUCUGGAAAGGCGCGCGAUACAGGGUGACA